CUCUCCCCCUCCUAUCCAGCCCCUUAUCUUUUGGUACACAAAUCUAUCUUUUUAGGGCGCGUUUGGUUGUGUUACUGUUUAAAAAUUGUUCCAGGGAACAGAAAUAGAAAAAAGUGUUUCUGUUCCGGGGAACAAUUUUUGAACAAAAAUACGCGUUUGGUAAACUUGUUUCGGGAAUAAAAAAUAAACAGAAACAUGUUUGGUAAAUUUGGUUAAUUUUUUUAUUUCUUUUAUUUUUUCUAUUUUUUUCUUAUUUUUCCUUUUUUUCUUUUUUCUUUUUCAUUUUUUUUUCUUCUUUUGGCCGGCGACCGGCCGGCGAGGGCCGACCUCGCCCAGCGGCGGGCGAGGCGCGGCCUCGCCGGGCCACCGCCAGGCGAGGCCGAGGCUCGCCGGCCGUUGGGCGAGCUCAGCCUCGCCGGCCUGGGCGUUCUUGUCACGAGGCNNNNNNNNNNNNNNNNNNNNNNNNNNNNNNNNNNNNNNNNNNNNNNNNNNNNNNNNNNNNNNNNNNNNNNNNNNNNNNNNNNNNNNNNNNNNNNNNNNNNCACCCAAACUUGUAUACUUUUGAUAAAUUCAUCCAAAACUAAUACACUUGUAACAAAUUUAUCAUAUAAUAGUUUCUAUUUAAUUUUAUUGUCAAAUUAUUGAGUUAAAUGACACAUAACAAUUGAUUGGAAUACCUAUUUAGGAUUUUACUCUUUAUUUGUCAUAGUUGUAUCAUUUUUGUAUUUUUUGUUAAUGGAGAGUAUAUUUUUCAUAAAUAUAUAAGUUCAAACUUUUUGGCAGUCAAACAAAUUAGUUUGACAUAAAAUUAUCAUGAGUGUACUAAUUUGAGAUUUUUUGUGAUCAUUUGAGGUAAAUUUAUCACAGAUAUACUAGUUGUGAGUUUUUCGUGGUAAAAAAAAUAAUUUUGAGUAAAUUUAUUAUAAGUAUACUAAUUUAAGAAUUUUCAAGGUAUUAGUCCUUUACAUUAUCAUUCUUCCUUCCAUUUUCAUUAGCAAUGCGGCAAAACUCUAGGCGUCGACGUCACCAACGCUCUUGUAGAACAACUCAGAUGCCACACACCAAAAAGUUUCUCUUGCUAUAGUCAAGAAUAGUGUCGUGAUUUGAGAGUUGAAGUUUUGCAAGUUGAAGUUGAAAGUCAGAUUUUUCGGGAGUGUAAUUCUCUAUCUAGAUAGACUUUAUUUUAUGAUCUAUAAAGGAAGUAAUAUGUGGUACGAUUCAAUAAUAAGUUUCUUAUUUAAAACAAUUCAUCAAUAUUUUUACAUUUUUGGAUGGAGUGGUCCAAGUCCUUUUAACUUGAAUCUUAGGCUAAAGAUGGAAUUUGGAUAGUCUUCAGAGGGACCGAAUUACUCAGUUGAAUCCGGCCAAAGCCCAACCAAAUAAGACCUUCAUCACCGAAUGUACCCAAAGCGCCAAAGGCAAAGAAAUUAAUUAUGGAUUGGGAGGCAAAAACUGAAACUCAAUCCAUUACAAAACUAACAAUUGUUUUUCUAAAAUUGGUGAAUCGUUGAAUACCCAACCAUUAGCAUACUAAAAUAAAAUUUAGAUCGUCAAAUCUAAUGAUAAAUUCGCCGCUAUUAAUGUUCCAAGUGUAGUUUAACAGAGACUCCACACUCAGACUCAUCUAUAUUCAUACAUCGAUAUCCAAGUCGUUAAAGUUCUAGCAAGGCUAAGCCACAUGCAUGCUUAUAUGCAAGUUUUACCCAAUAAUUUAUAUAUGUAGUCAUUUUAGCAAAUAUUUCAUUCCGGUAAAUCUCGAAUUUAGCAUCUCUACUUUUAUGCAUAUUUUGGUAAUAAAUUUGUAAGAUAGAAUUAUGCAUAUUUUGAUUGUAAAUAUAUGUAAAAAAUUGUUUACAUAACACAUAUAUUGAUCAUCCCAUGUUUUCAAGUAGAUUAGUUUGAAAGCAUUAUUAGAAGAAUUAGCGGAUGCAUAAUUGACAUAGACGGGACUAUUGAAGCAUAUCUAGAGUAUUCGGAUAGGUAGAACCAUAAAUCAAUUGGCAAGCUCGAGGCAAGAAUGGUCGCACAUUGAUUUUUUCCUUCCUUUUGGCUGGAGAGAGUAUUUCGUUUUAUAGGAGAAAAACAAGUACAACGGCAACACCAUUUGACAAAAGAGACAGAAUCAGUAUUUCAUUCCAUUGUUCUUUUCUCUACUUAUAUAUAUCUUCCCUUCAAGUCUUUUUUUUAAGGGUAAAUAUAUCAUAGUAGACAUAAUUUGUGAUUUUUGAUGCCUUAUACCCUUAGAAAAAUUCAUCAAUAACUUACAUUUGGGGUUUAAAUGGUCCAAGUCCUUCUAAGUUGGAUCUUAAGCUAAAGAUGGAAUUUGGAUAUUCUCCGGAGGGACUAGAUUACUCAGCUGAAUCCGGCUAAGACCCAGCCGAAUAAGACCUUCAUCAUCAAACGAGCCCAAAGUGACGAAGGCAAAGAAUUUGAUUGUUAAUUGAGAGGCCAAACCCAAACUCAAUCCCUUACAAAACUAACAUUUGUUUUGUAAAAUUGGCGAAUCCUUGAAUACCCAAACAUUAGCUUACUAAACUAAAAUCUAGAUUGUCAGAUUUGGUGAGAUCUAGAUUAAACUCACCAGUAUCAAUGUUUGAAAUGUAAUUUAAACAGACUCCUCACUCCAACUCAUCUAUAUCCAGGUCAUUAAAGUUCUUGCAAGGUUGUGCCACGUGAAGGCUUACAUGUGAGCUUCACCCAAUAAUUUGUAUAUUUAUAGUCGUUUUAGCAAAUCUUUAAUCUCAAUAAAUCUCUAAUAUGCAUAUUUUGGCAAUAAAUUUCUAAAAUAGGACUAUGCAUAUCUUGACAGUAAAUAUACAUAACAAAAAUUGUUUACGAAUACAUAGAUUGAUCAAUCAUAUUCCACAUCAUACUCUCAAGUUAGUUUCGUUGUGUGUUUUCAAGUAGAUUGGUUUGAAAGCAAAAUUAGAACAAUUACCGGAUGCAUAAUUGACAUAGGCGGGACUACUAAAGCGUAUUAAGAAUAUUUUGAUAAGCAUAACCAUAAAUCAAUUAGCAGGCCUGAGGUGAGAGUUGUCGCACCUUUAUUUUUUCUUUCUUUUUGGCUGGAGACAGUAUUUCAUUCCACAAGAGGAAAACAAGUACAACAACAUCAUUCAACAAAAGAGAUAAUAAGGAUGAGCAUUUCAUUCCAUCGUUCUUUUCUCUACUUAUAUAUCUUCCCUUCAAGCUUCUUUUUUAGUCUUAUGAACACAUUCCAUGCAUAGUCCGCCUCACUGAGGAUCUUCUUAAGGUCUAGGUAAUGCUUCUCGAAAAACAGAAGAACUUCUCCCCUUCUAGAUAUGCCAACUAAUGAAAAGCAAUUUUCAUCAACAAAACCCGCCUUUGAUCUUUAUUUGAGCUUGUUGUACCAAAAAUCAUUGUUGUAACCAUCUAUCGACAUAAGUGAAUUGUUCUUUAUUAAUGUUUAAGCCUAAACCACCAAAAUAGGCAUAGUUAAAACACCCACGGCAUGUUCUCUUGCACCCAUCAUAGAAUGGGGCAUUGUCAUGACCUAAUUUUGGGUGAAUCACUUAGAGUUUGAUUAAUAGAUUACUAACUCUAGAGUUAGCUCAAGCUCCUCGAAAUCCAUAUCAAUUUACAACUUAUAGUCCAAGUUCUUAACAUACAAAAUUAGUUUUAUUUAGGAGUCAUCAUUAUUCAAUUUAUGGUAUGUAGAUCAGAUAUCUAAGUAAAGCAACAUGAGAAGUACUUUAUUCCUAUGAACUAGAAAAUCUAGGGUUGAGAACUUAAUUACAUCAGUUAUCCAACUAAUGUCCUUUUAGUAUCUAAUCUCAUGUAAUACGAUGUUUAAGCAGCCUUCUCGCAAAUCAUAAGUCUUAAGGUUUUAUUCCUAACCAGGCUCAAGGGAGACAACGUUGUAUUACAAGUCCACAAUAAAGUAAUAAUUGAAAUAGAAAUGCACAAAAAACAACCUAGUAUAUGUCUUUAAGAACAUUCAAAACUCUAUCAUAAAGCCCUAAGGGCUUAUUCAAUUUUUGGGUGAAGGAAUUUUUUUUAUCAAGAAUUUUCACACAUUUUAAGAGAAAACAACUUAAAACUAUCUUCGUUACCAAAAAAAGAAAAGAAAAAAAACAACAACAACUUAAAACUAUCUUUUAAGCUUUUCCAUAAUUUUUUAGGAAAAAAUAAAUUUUCUUUGGAAUUUUAAAUUUUUUUUAAAUUUUAUUUUUAUGAACAAUUAAUUUUUUAUCUGAAAAUAGGUACCUGGUCCGCGUAAGGACAGAACCUUAGGACACGUUUGACAACAUUUUUAUUCCAGGGAAUAAUUUUUUUUUUCUGUUCUAGAGAACAAUUUUUGAGUAUAAGAACACGCUUGGUAAGUACAAAAAAUUUCUACUCCAGGAACAGGAACAGUAAUACGUUUGGUAAGAUUGUAUAAUUUUUUUGUUUCUUUUAAUUUUUCAAUAUUUUUAUUAUAUAUAUUUUUUUUCUUUCUUUUUUCUUUCUUUCUUUUGGCCGGUCACCAGCUUUGGCCAUGGCUGAUGAGGCUGGACGAUCUCGCCGACCCCCGACGAGGCCGAGCUCGCCUAGCUAUUGGUGAGGCUCGACCUUGCCAGGCCACCGUUAGGCGAUGUUGACCUAGUGGUGGCCCGAAACGCUCCAGCGAGGUCACCAACCCUCGACGGCUGGUCGCUAGCCAUGGCCGAGGCCAACAACCGGCCAAAAGGAAGAAGAAGGAAGGAAGAAGAAGGAAAGGAAUACGGAGGAGAAAAGAAGAAGAAGAAAAAUGAGAAGGAAAAAUAAGUGUUUCUUGGAAUUGUUUUCGGGAAUAAGAAAUAAGUUUUUUCUACUUCUUAUUGCUGUUCCAAAUCUAUUCCUAGGAACAAAAAAAUAGAUUUUUUGUGUUUUAGGAAACAGAGACAAAAAUAAACAAACAGGCCCUUAGUCUCGUCGAUACGGGCCAUAUAUAUACAUUGGGCUCUCAAGUCAAGUCCACUUAACCGAACCCACUUCACAAAAUUCAAACCCAGCCCAAACAAGAUUAGAUCCAAACCCAAUUAACUAAACCAGGCCCAACUCACCAAACUACAGCUAAAGCCUGACACUCACCACCCUUGUAGCAUAGACGAAGCCCCAAUACCAAAACUAACACUUCAAGCCCAAGGCUCACGAAGUCUAAAUGAGCCCAAAGCCCACUACUCUCCCCUCAUCAAAUUUUCCAAUCCCACAACUGCUCCUCAACGUCGUCUCCUUUGAGCACACGCCCGAAACGCCUGCGACCUUCCCUCAUCUUUCAUGCUCGGUUCCCUGAUCCCGGAACUCCCCACCUCCAAUCUCUUCCGCGAUGGAGUUUUCACAUCUAUAGAUUAGUACCUAAAGCUUCCCUGAACCGGAAACACUCAAACCUCACACCGAUAAUACUCUUAUGCCACCGUCGCUAAUUCUCGGCCAUCAGCUAUAACCAUUGCCAUAUUACCAGCGACCACCAGCCACUUACUUUCACAGCCAGUCAUGACCGGAGAAGAACAGAAAGAGCACGGAUUUAGCUUAUACAUUUUAUCGAACCCUUGGUGGGCGUCGACUGACAGGAAGCACAACAAGCAUUUGAGGCACGGGCCCAAGCCUAAUACAUCCAUAAUAAAAAAACAACGCCCAGCAUAAACAAUACGAGCACGAGAAACCUGGCGUGCGUGAAAACCAGAGCCGACCAGCCUGGGUCCGUAGAUUAAAUAAAAUAAAAUAAAAUAACACAGGCGCUGGAGCGUACGUCCGCGAGAUCCCUAACCGGCUCGGCAACGACGGCCAGAAGGCAAAACCGAAGCUCGGCUCUGUGUCUCGCUUUCUCUCAGUCCCUCCCUCUGCUUCCCUCUCCCUUUUCCGAAUGGUCAGCCCCCUCUCUUUUUCAAGAGAUCUCCCCGGUGAGCCCCCCUGCCACCACCUAUCUCCUCGGGACCAAGUUAGGUCCAUUUCCAGCUAAGCUGGCCUCUGAACUCGUGGCUAGCACGCCCCCUCUACCAGCCGUAGUUUUGUCUGUCGCCUGCUUUCUCUGCCUCCUACGCUACGUGCGUGAGGGAGAGAAGAAGAGAGACAAAAACGAUGGGGGUCUGGGCUGAGAAGGAAGAAAAGCCCCUCGCCCCCUCUCUUCCUUUUAAAAAAAUUAUUAAUUUUUUAAAAAAAGGAAGUAUGUUUUAAUAAAUAGUUAAUACCCUGAAAAACCUACACGUGUGAUAAAUUUACCUCAAAUUAUUUUUUUAACAAUAAAAAAUCAUAAACUGGUACACCUGUGACAAAUUUACCUCAAUUAACCAUAAAAAAUCUAAAUUGGUAUUACCCCAAACUAAUUUAUUCGAUCGUCAAAAAUCCUAAACUUGUACAUUUAUUACAAAUAUGUCACAUGUUAAAUUAGAUUAAUACCACAAAAAAAUCACAAAAAUUGUAAAGCGUGACAUUUAACUUAAUAAUUUGACAGUAAAAUUUAAUGGAAAUUAACAAAGGGUAAAUUUUUCACAAGUGUACCCGUUUGGGGUAAAUUUGUCAAAGGUGUACACGUUUAGGGUUUUUUUUUUUUUUUGGUAAAAGACACUUUUAGGGUUUUUAGUGAUCAAAAAAUUAGUUUGGAAUAAAUUUGUCACAGAUGUAUCAGUUUGGGGUAUUUCAAGGUAUUAACUCUUUAAUAAAUUCUAUUACUAUAAAUGCAAGUAUUCCUAAUAUCUGUAUGCUAUGUAAUUUACUGAAAAUUGUUUUUGUUAGGGGCCAAGGGUGGUCCCUAAAUUUUUUGGGAUAAAUAAAUAGUGAAAAUUUAGAUAUCAAAUAGAUAUUUACCUGUUACCUUGAUUCACUUUAAUCCUCCCAUUAGCUCUGUUAGGUUAUAGUGGAUGUAAAAUUUAAAAUGUGCUUUUUUUUUUAUUAACAACAAUUUAUGAUUGACAAAUAAAACAAAAAAAUAUGUGUUGUUUAGGUCAUAACACGAGUGAUUCUCUCCCGUUUCGAUUUUUUAUUCAAAGAAAGAUGAUAUAUAUCAAUAAAUUAACAAUAAAAGAAAGAUCCAACCUCAGCCUCUUAAAAUCCAUGAAAUUGUCAAAGACACAAGUACAUUAAAUUUGCCAGUUUCAAGACUUGAAUGCAUGAAAUAAAAGUUUUAAAACUCAAGUGCAUUAGUGAUAAGUUUUAGAACUUGCCCUAUAAUUGUCCCAUUUUCUUUUGAUAUUUUAAAUUGGGAUCUAAGGUAACAUUGAAGACCAUAUGAUAGCCCCUUCAAUAUUUUCUCGAAAGUUGAUCGAUUUCCAGUCAAAGUAAAUCUAUUGCAAGACAAUAAAAAUUUGCUACGAUUGGGAAAUAAAAAGUUGAAUUUCGGCAAGCCAAAAGCGGACUGACUUCUAAAUGCAAUGACCACAAACAAAAACUACUUGCAGACUGAGUGUGAUGCGAGGAAAGCAGAGGGAUUCAUAACGGAGUCAAAGAGGAAACUCGCAAGUAUAUUUAGGUAGCAUGUAUCGCAGCUUUCUUUGGUGAAUAUUCUACAGAAAACCAGUGAUAUGGUUAAGGGAUGAUUAAAUGGAUUAGCUAGAAUUCACAUAGGAAGAACAUAUAGAGUUCGCUUCCCAAAGAAGGUUAUUAUAUGAACCCACACAUAAGUCCCAUCUAGGGUCAUGAAGCCCCCCAUGGACCUGGUUUUCUUAAUGAACAAUAUGGUAUUUCAAAAUUUAGUGAAAUUAAAAGUAAUUCCACGCUAAACUCGAAAUCAAAUAAUGUUUUUAUUAAUCAGGCAGGGGAGAUGAAAAAGUUUAUCAGGUAAAACUAAUAAAGCAUGGCUUAAUAUUUCACAGAAUUACUUGUCAAUAAAUUCCUGUCAACUUGGGAUAUGAGUUCUUUCAGAUUUAGACUUCAAAAAAUUUGUUUCGUCUAGGACCUUCUUCCUUUUUAUUUUGAUAAAAAGUUGUUUCUUGCAUAAACAGAUGUGUCUACUUUUUAAAACGUAUAAGUGGAUAUUUUCUCUGAAAAUGAAUUCGUAUGUCGUUUAUUUCGAGAAAUCAUAUGCCGAUAGUAGCGCAUUAAGUAGCAAGAUCACAGGUUAUUAUUAGCAAUUUUAUUGGCAUUGCCCUAAACCACGUAUUGAGGGAGAAAAUUUCGCAAUGUCCAUCACCUGCACCACCGUUUUUGUGCGUGCUCUCUUAUGAAUUUUUUUAUCCUUUCGAAGGAUGAAGCAAGAGAGUACAGCUAAAUGAAAUACAAUAACCCAACCUUAACCUAAGAACUAGACGAAGACAAUCUCGGAAGUAAUUACUGUCGAGCUAAACUAGCUCAAUUCCCCUCGUACACAAUACUAGAUUGCGGGGACAUGUGACAAAUACACAAAGCUUUUCUAAUCAAACUGUGCAUGGUUCUCUAAACAUUAUUACUAUCUCCAAAAGGAAAAUUAGUGGAAAGUAUUUGGAGUGCUUAAUGAAGUUGAGAAUGUGUUUAGUUCCAUCUCCGUUUUGUCCCUGUUUACUGCCUCAUCCGGUGGGUAAAAUAAGCAGUUUUUGAGGCAUUUGAAGAUUACCAAUAUCUUAUUCUAGUAUUUCUAGGACUUUACUUAUUGAAGGCCGAUGGUUAGAAUAUAACUGUAUACACUAUAAUGCAACUAUUAUCAUCUUUUUUGUCACAUUCCUUUCCUCUUCCGCAACUUCUUCCAUUUCAACAGCUUUGCCUUCAUUAACUUGGUUGUACACCCAUAGUGGAAAUAAAUUUGGCUUGAAUGCUCCGCAUCGGCAUGUAUAUUUUUCCUUCUACCUACCAUUUCCAUGAGCAACAUCCCAAAGCUAUCGACGUCCACUUUAUAAGAUACACCACCGAUGUUUUUAUAGAACAACUUAGGUGCCAUAUGCCCUAAUGUCCCUCUUGCAGUAGUAAAUGAUACUGUGCUAUGAUUAAUGGGAUAAAGUUUCAUAAGCCCAAAGUCAGGAACUUUCGGAGUGAAAUUCUUGUCUAAAAGAAUGUUGCGAGGCUUGAUGUCAAAAUGUAAAAUUUGCAUCUCGCACCCUUGAUGUAGGUAUUCGAUACCCCUCGCAACGCCAAGAGUGAUCUCAUAUAUUUUCUUGUAAUUAAGAAACUUAUCACCUUCCGUAGGAAAAUGAGCUUAUCCAAAGAUCCGUUUGACAUGAAAUCAUAUACAAGAGCUUGUUUUAAGCCUUCAAAGCAAAAUCCAAUGAGUUGCACCACAUUAACAUCGUCAAUUCUUUCAAUAGUAGCAAAUUCACUAAUAAAACCUUGGCCAAGGGCCUUGGACUGCUUUAAAAUCUUUAUGGCCACUUCAUUGUUGCUUCUAAGAGAUCCUUUGUACACGGAACCAUAACACCCUUCACCUAGUUUGUGCUUAAAAUUUUUGAUGACUUUCUUAACAUUCGAGUAAGAGUACCUUAUGAGCAUGUCAUGAACUUGCAAAAAUUCUUCGCUAUUCUUAUCCAUUGCUAAAUGCCUUCCUCUAUACUUGUAAAAUAAAAAUAUCAAGGGAAAUGGCUUCCCAAUUACGAAUUUCACUGCACAAAAUUGCACUAACGAAAAUUUUGAUAGGUUAGAUUUUUUUUAAAAAAAAAAUUAUCUUAGGCGUAAAUCAUUGCGGCUUACCUAGUGUUGCUGUAAAUUCAAAAGUUGUCCAAAAUGCAUAAAAAUCGACACCUAUGGAAAGAACCAAUGAUGUGAAAAGAAAUUCAAGGAAAAGAAGUAUGGAAAACAAAAAACUCAUGAUAAAAGAUAGCAGUAGUAAGCUACUUUGUAUAAGUUGAAUUUUGUCCAAAAGAAUAUGAUAAGUGCGAUGGGGGCAUUUGCAAAUAAAUAAAACUAAUAAGCUUGAAUUCACAUAUAUGAUAGAUGAUGACACAAGAAACUCCUUUUCCUUAGUUAGCAGUCAACAAAUAAUGAGAUAUAAUUAUUUUCUUUCUUAAGUAAUAGUUUUGCUCCUCCUCUCAUCAUGAAUACAAUUUUUUAGCGAAUUUGUUAAACAAGCGUCUCUUAAAUUAUUUGUUAAGUAACUAACUGAGGAACUAAUUAAGAAAAUCUAAACUCUUUGCCAACAAAGAUACUAGUUAUGUGGCUGUUCGCACAAGAACCCCUUUGUUUUUUUAGAGUGGGGAGGUUAGACCUCAUGUGGAAAGGAAUUAUGUUCUAGGCGCCUGUAUAUGUGCAGCAAAUGAUGGGUCUGUUCAGGUGACUUUUACCGUCACUUUUUUUUUCCCCGAAUCUUGCAACUCCUACAAUUUGAUUUUAAUAGGUAAAAGGAAGCUCCCGAAACCUUUCAAAGAGACAAAUAUUGAUGUAUAUGAACAUGUAUGUUUUGUCAUUAUUUUAUCGGAUAUCAAAUAUUUCUUUCGUUUUUCAGAUUUGAAGAGAGAGUAGCAAGUGAAAUAGUGUACGGAUUCAUGCAAAAUUGCGUUUAAAUUUGAUUGCCUAACGAUGCUUACCUUAGUCGCCCAUGAAUCUGCAACCCGCAUUACUAAAGUAGAUGCUGAAGGAAUCGAAGAAGCAGAACAAAAUGUCCACCCAAAAGUUGAGAUCGAACCCAUCGGCCAUGAUGUUAUGGAUUAGCUUGUAGUUGUGGGAGCUGCUAUUAUUCUUCUCUUCGCCCCCAAAAUAAUAUGAUAUCCACAUCCAACUAUGAAUGGUGCAAAAAUCUUUGAUAUCCGAUGCCGUUGGAUUGAUCAAACAUACAAGUUCCAAUUUGAUGAUGUGUUGGAAGAGUAUGAUCCCUUAAUGCAUGGAUCGGUAGAGAUGUAGAAUGGAGAACUGGCUAACUUUGAGCAGUUCACAAUGACCAAUGUAGGUAAGCUGCUCAUGUAGUAUGAAAAGCUUUGAUACCUCAACAAUGAAUGGCAAGGGAGAGACGAGCAGUUAUUCUUUUGCAACCCAUCGUCGACCAAUCUGAUUUGGCUAGUGGAAUAAUUAAUAACCUGCACACAAUAUUGGCCAUUAUGGAUGUAUAGAACAGUGCAAUUAUCUUCACAAGCCAGCUCAUGCUUUGAGUUACCACAUCCUUUGAGGUCACUCUUAAGUAGAAACGGAUAGCUUAUACUGCGAAUGUCACCACAUUAUGAAGUGCACCGUUAAUUACUUGGCUUGACAUGGUUAGUCAUCGCUAGAAAUAGAACAAUAAUGAGUAGCAACACUUGACAAAUACUCAUGGAGCUGAGAGCAUUAAUCAUGCCUCUGUUUGUCUUUGAGAAAGGGGAAAUCGGUAAAGAAUUGUUGGGUGGGUGUGGAGGAGGCGCAUUAUAAAUAGAUUAGAAGAGAUUGGACGAUCCUUGCUUGAUUGGAGACUUGAUCUGUUUUUCUAGAUGCACUGAAUAUACGUAUGUGCUUUAAAGGUGGGUGGGUCUCAAAUAGGGAUGGCCACUGGCCGUUCUUUUAAUAAUGGAACUUCAGUUUGGGUCUCAUGGAGAACAGGAUCUUCUUUCGCAUUUGAUCUUUCCUUCUCCACUUUUAGGCCCUGUUUGGUAACCAUCCAAACAAGGCCAAAUUCUGAUUUUUUGUUCCUAGGAGUAAUUUGGGAACAAAAUCGCGUUUGGUAAAAUUUUUGUUCCCGGGAACAGAUUUGGAGUUGAAUCAAGAAUAAAAAAAAAAAAUUGAUUCUUGUUCUAGGAACAAAAAAAAGAAUAAAAAAAGUGGAACCCUUCUCUCCCUGUCCGCCACUACCCGUCGUCGCCCUUAACUGUCGUCCGCCAGUUGCCGACAACCAGUUCGGCGAGGCUUGGCCUCGCCAGUGGCCAGGCGGGCCUCGCCCAGCCCUGCGAGGCUCAGCCUCACUAGAUCUGGCGAGGUUGAGCCUCGGCGGGGCUGGGCAAGCCUCCAGCCCCACCGGUGGCCAGGCGGGCCUCACCCAACCUUGGCAAGGCUCGCCCAGCCCCGCCGGUGGCCUGGCAGGACUCGUCCAGCCCCGGCGAGGCCGGCUUGGCCAUUGGCAAGGCCGAGCCUCGCCCAGCUACUGGCGAGGCUCGACCGACGAGGGUUGGGCUCACCGAGGACCGGCGACGCUCCGGUGAGGCCGCCGGCCCUCGUCUAGCCAGUCGUCGGUCCGACGACUGGCCUGAAGAAGAAGAAGAAGAAGAAUAGGAGAAAAAAGAAAAAAAGUAUAAAAAUUAAAAGGAAUUGAUUUGGAACAGAAUCAAUUAACACGGUACCAAACGCAAUUCUAUUUCAGAAUUAGAAAUUUUGGACAGUUACCAAACGGCUUAAAAUGCUUAGAAUCUGUUCCUAGGAACAAAAUAAAAAAUAAAAAAAAUCAUUUUUGAUCAGAAUCUACUCCCGGGAACAGAAUUGUUACCAAACAUGCCUUUAAUGGCCAUUAUUCUUCCACUAUCUCUAUGUGAUUGCUGGGUCCACACCCUCUCUCUCUCUCUCUCUCUCUCUCUCUCUCCAAUCACUUGGCUUCUGAUACACAUAUCUAUCUUCUUAAUUUCUUCUUUGUUUUUUUUCCUCCUCCCUCCUUCUUUCCAUUUUCUUUCUUCACCGCUCGGAUCACAAUCAAAGGAAAAAUUGAAGUACAGUACUGAGGCCAAAGUUCAGAAAUAAAAACUAAGCUUGCCUCGGAACUACUACUUCUACAUCUUCUUUGAACCUUUUCUAUUCGGUUGUCAAGUCACAAACUUCAGAUAUAAUUCAAUUGCUUACAUGGUCAAAUUAUUCCAUGAAAUAAAUAAAUAAGAAAAUAUAAGGAAUGUAUCGCAUGUGAUAUAAUGCAUGAGGAAUUUGAAGCAACAGUGGGUCCUAAUGACUUUCAAUAUCAUAGGGUCUUUACAUUAUGCAUAUUAAAAGUUUUGUAACCCGAAUAAUUGACGGGACACGAUAUAGGGAUAAUUUUCUUGGCUGGAAUCAGAAGGGACAAAUACUUUAAAAAUAAUUGAAGAAAAAAGAAACUCUAAUAGCCUUUCAUGUGGAUUGGAGACUAGCAUGCGAGAUUAGUGUCAUCACUUCAAACUAGUGACAUCUCUCUUUUGAUGUGCACUUCUAACUAACUCUGAUCAAUUGAUAUAGUGGACCUAUUUUUUUAAAAUAUAAUAAAUAUAGAUAUGCAAGAAAACUUUGGUUUGCCUAUGAAAAUAGAUUAGCAGUGCGAGGUUAAGGUUGCUAACUAAGGAGAUAUUUGUUGUCGUGUGGCCUUUUGCACAAAGCAGAGCUAUAGACUCGCUUUUUGAAAGCAGUAAGGAGAGCCGCCGUCGAUGGCCUCUUUACUUUGUUGAACUUCGCGCAAGAGAGAGUUCAAAGGUAAGAAGACAUGAAGAAUCAAUGGACUCGCCCUUUGCAACACCAGGAGAAACAUCUCGCGUUCUGAGUGAUUUAGUUGCAAGGCAUUUGUCGUGUCUCACAUGUCCGUUGUUUUUUAACUUAGAAAAGGGUGUAUCAUAUAUAGAAUCACCUUCAUAUAACCUCUGUGACACUCGUUAAGCAUGCUAAAAAUAGCAACUAUUGUUUUGUAAAAAAUACAUAUAAAUUGAACAUAAAAAAAAUGACUUAUACAUGUUGCUACCAGCAUGUAGAUAUUACCUUAGUCGAACAUCUAUUUUCGCAUUCUCGAAAGAUAUUUAAAACCCUAAUCAACACAUUCUAAGAAACUUUUUAACGUUUACCAUUUGAAACCGUACUAAUAUAUUGACUAUUCGCUUGAAAGAUAGAGUGAGGGCAUAUUACCCUUUGUGAGUCUUGAGCAUCUCUUUGAUGCUUUGAGGCAUGGCAUUCUGAGAGGUAAAUCCAUUUCAAAUGUGAUAAGCGUGUUCUUCUCAUUGGCUUUGUAUUGAUUAACUGACAAUAUAAAGACAUUCUGUGAUAUCCUGAAUUUCAGGUUUUGAUUUCGAUUGGAUAAAAUGGGCCUUUCGUCAAUGUGGAUAUAGUGUUUUUCUCUGAGUUGGCCACUCACGAGAUAACUGGCCUAUCCGAUGAAGCCAUUCAGGGAUUUUAAACGCAAUAGACUUGAGAAUUCGACCAUGAAUUGACUACUCGAUCGUGCUAGUCUGCAAGGGUCAUUACGGCAUUGUCAAAAUCGAUCAAAGAUCAGAGAUAGGUUGAUUCGACUGAGAUGUGUGAUCAAGUAUGGGUGAUGCCACCUGAUUGCAAAAUUCUUAUCGAUCGGCACUAAACAGAUUUUCUGUUGUUUUGGGUACCCUGUGCCUAUAUUUGAAACCUUGAGAUUUUCACAACCACCGGGAGUUGCCAAUGUGUCGGAUGGGUUUAUUGUGGUUCAAAGAAAAUCGAUCACGAGUCAAUUGCACCGAAAAUCCCUAAAAGCUACUCGGUAGGUAAGGUCAUACUAAAAGUACGUUUGAUUGAAAAUAACCACGAGUUUGAAUUUGAUUUCAGAAAUUGGAAGUCUUGUCAUGUCAUGAGUCAUUCUAAGAACGUCGACUCACCUUUUGAGAAAAUUCUGAAGAAUUCGAGAUUUUUGGAGGAAAUCGGGAUGGACGAUUCAGAAAACGAGUGGGAAUUCAGAUUGGCCUAUUUGAAGGGAUUUUUGACAUCUGAUAUGAGUGAAUCGGUGAAUGGAAGUUGCUUGAGCUUUUUCUGAAUUCGAAUUGGACCUCAACCAGAUUUAUUUGUUCAGAAAAUCGAAUACCGAGAAAAAUGAAAUGGAAGUCGGUUUCGAAGGAAAUUCGUGGGAUUAAAGGACCAUCUUCAAUUGGAUUUCAAAUGUUCAAGUUGGUGAAGAAAUUGAUCCUACGGUGACCAAUUGACUCAGUAAUUUUUGAAGUGGAUCGAGAGUUGUAAUUGUGGUUCUGUUUUAUUCUUCUUCUCCUCUUGGACUCACGUCAUCCGCAGACCCUCACACCCUUCAUUUUCGGCCACACUUAUUUCUUCUUUUCUCUUUCUUUUUGGUCGACGGUCCAUGCUAAUCUUCCUUGUUCUUUUUGACUUUGGUCUUCUUUUGCCUUGAUUGUUGACCGUGGGGCCUCACUUCUUCUUAUCCGAUUACGUACUUCUCUCCCUCUCUUUCUUUGUCUUUUCUUUUAGCACGUUUCCUCACCUGGCCGACAGCCCCACUCUGCUCUCUUAUCUUUUAACUUCUUUUUGUUCCCUUCUUCGGUCUUCCGCUGGAAGAAGCCAGCGACGUCGACACCUCCCCUUCGGUCUUCAUUUUCAUUUUCCUCACAUAUCUCUCUCCCUCAUGCCUGCUUCUCCACCAAGCCGUAUCUUCUCGGUCAACAGCAACAACCCCCCUUCCCCUUCGUUGACCACCAGCAAACGACGCCAGCUACCCCUUUGUUCUUCCCUCUCCGUCGCCCGUGAUCUGUCCCUCACUGUCGCAGCCACACGUCCAGCAGUACGAUCAGCCCAUCUCCUCUUUCGGUCCAGCAAUCGUGACCAUCAGCAGCUCCUCUCAGCGACGCGUCUUCAACGCCACAGCAACAACGUCCGAAGCUGCCAUCCCAGUCAACACGGCGAUUUCUCUGCUGGUCUGUAGACCACCGAUUCCCCUUUUUCGUGGCCGCACAACCGAAGCAGCUCUUGCGCCAUCUUCAGUCCACGUCUCCAGCGAAACCAUCUCCGCCGAGGCAAGUUUCGAAGCCCAUCUUCAAUCAGCAGCCCACGCAGCAGUCCAGCAAAAUCAGCCCAUCGUGAGUCCAUCCCCACCGAGUCCAGCUCAGCCCACAAACUAAUGGAUUUCAGCCCGCGAGCUCAGUCCAUUUCAGCCCAUAAGAAAUCAGCCCAAUUCGGCAACUCCAUUCAAGCCCACGAGCCCAAAUGAAUUCAGUCCAUCAAAAGCCCAGCGAAUUUUUGAGGCCCAAGCCCAAUGUCUGCAGCAAGCCCAUCCCAACUCAUUAACAAAUCUUGAUUUGGGCUGAGAUUUGUUGGGCCCGUUUUAGGCCUGGCUUAAGUCCGCCGACGCCGCCGAAAAUUCAGAUUUUGGCCGCUGUCGCGCCGUCGUCGCGGUGAACCGGUUUCCGCAAUUAACCGGUGAGUUUAUACUCUAAACUCUGCUUAGUAGGCUAAUAACGUUUAAGGAGUGUUUAGAUUUAUUUUAUUAGGAAUUAGGUGGUUAGUUAGAUUAAAUUAGAAAUGUAAUUAUUUAAUUGAGCAUGUUAGGUGGUUAGCAUGAUUUAGCUAAAGCCUAAAUAAAGUGUACUAUUUAUCUAGAAGGGUUCAGAAAUUUCUCCGAGUCCGUAUUGGUUAUUAAUUUAAUGAUUCUGG
rnacentral:lncRNA from 1 species